rnacentral:rRNA from 1 species
GAGGCGAUGAAGGACGUGGCUACCGGCGAAACGUUUCGGGGAGUUGGAAGUAAGCUUUGAUCCGAAAAUAUCCGAAUGAGGAAACUCUCUAACUUCUUACUGAAUCUAUAAGUAAAGAAAGAGUGAACCUAGGGAAUUGAAACAUCUUAGUACCUAGAGGAAAAGAAAGUAAAAACGAUUCCCGGAGUAGUGGCGAACGAAAUGGGAACAGCCUAAACUUUUAGUAGUUUUAUUAAAAGGGUUGUGGGGUAAAAAAAUCUGAAAAGAGAAAAAGAAAUUAAAGAAAUUUAAUUUUUAUUUAAAAAUUAGGUGAAUUAACUGGAAAGUUAUACCAAAGAAAGUGAUAGUCUUGUAACCAAAAAUUUUUAAAAACUUUUUAUUCCCGAGUAGCAUGAGGCACGUGGAAUCUCGUGUGAAUCUGCGAGGACCACCUCGUAAGGCUAAAUAUUCCUGGAUGUCCGAUAGCGAAAAGUACCGCGAGGGAAAGGUGAAAAGAACCCCGGGAGGGGAGUGAAAUAGAACGUGAAAUUGCAAGUCUACAAACAGAAGGAAAACGACUUAGCGUUUAACUUCGUGCCUGUUGAAGAAUGUUCCGGCGACUUAUAGUUAGUGGCAGGUUAAAAUAGAGAUAUUGGAGCCAGAGUGAAAGCGAGCUUGAAUAGAGCGUUCGUCACUAGUUAUAGACCCGAACCCGGUUGAUCUAACCAUGGCCAGGAUGAAACUUAGGUAACACUGAGUGGAGGUCCGAACCGACUGAUGUUGAAAAAUCAGCGGAUGAGUUGUGGUUAGGGGUGAAAUGCCAAUCGAAACCGGAGCUAGCUGGUUCUCCCCGAAAUGUAUUUAGGUGCAGCGGUUAAUAUUAUAGCGUAGGGGUAAAGCACUGUUUCGGUGCGGGCUGGUAAUUCGGUACCAAAUCGAGGCAAACUCUGAAUACUACGUGCACAGUUAACCAGUAAGACUAUGGGGGAUAAGCUUCAUAGUCAAGAGGGAAACAGCCCAGAUCACCAGCUAAGGCCCCUAAAUAAUUACUAAGUGAUAAAGGAAGUGGAAAGGCUUUGACAACCAGGAGGUUUGCUUAGAAGCAGCAAUCCUUUAAAAAGUGCGUAAUAGCUUACUGGUCUAGCAAUUCUGCGCCGAAAACUUAUGGGACUCAAGUAAUUUGCCGAAGCUGUGAGAUAAAUUUAAAAUUUUAUCGGUAGGGGAGCGUUCUGUUGUAGAUUGAAGUGUUAGCGGAAGCGGGCAUGGACGAAACAGAAGUGAAAAUGUCGGAUUGAGUAGCGAAAACAUUGGUGAGAAUCCAAUGCUCCGAAAACCUAAGGUUUCCUCCGCAAGGCUCGUCCACGGAGGGUGAGUCAGGUCCUAAGGUGAGGCUGAAAAGCGUAGUCGAUGGACAAUAGGUUAAUAUUCCUAUACUGAUUUUUACUGGUAUCGAGGGACGAAUAAGGCUAAACUAGCCAGAUAUCGGUUACUGGUUUAAGGAAUUGAGGUGUUGAAGAUUAGAGAAAAUAAUCUGAGCUAAGAUCCGAAUACAAGAUUUUAAUAAUCAAAGUAGUUGAUGUCAUAGUUCCAAGAAAAGCUCGCUAUGCCUUAAGUAAAAGUCACCUGUACCUUAAACCGACACAGGUAGGUAGGUAGAGAAUACCAAGGAGCGCGGGAGAACCCUCCUUAAGGAACUCGGCAAAAUAGCUCUGUAACUUCGGAAGAAAGAGUGCCUUUUAGGCUGCAAUAUCAAGUUCCAAGCAACUGUUUAGCAAAAACACAGGUCUCCGCUAAGUUGUAAAACGACGUAUGGGGGCUGACGCCUGCCCAGUGCCGGAAGGUUAAAGAAGUCGGUUAGCGUAAGCAAAGCUGGUAACUGAAGCCCCGGUGAACGGCGGCCGUAACUAUAAACUAGGCCAAAUUGUAGUUAUAAAAUUUAGCUAUAUGCUGGAAAAUCUUGUUAUAAAUUUUCUCUACUCUUUAGUUAAGAAAGCAGACAGUUUGCUGUCUCUUAUAAAAAUUGAAAGUAAAAAUGGGAAAAAUAGAGACAAUCAGCAGGAAAGGCUUUAAAAAUAGAAACGAAAUUAGACAAUUUGUUUUCAAAUGAAAAAUAAUAUACCUUUUAGUGAAGAAAAAGAUCUUGAAAAAAGACCUAUUCCUUCUCGGCCAAAGAUUCGACCACAAGAUGGUUAUUAUGUUACUGGUUUUAUUGAUGGUGAAGGUAGUUUUUAUUCUGUAGCAAGAAAACGACCUGAUUAUAAUACAGGUUGGAAAUUUUUUGCUGUUUUUUCAGUUGGAAAUAAAGAUAAAAGUACGAUUGAUUUUUGUCAGAAAAUAUUUGGUUGUGGUGAAAUACGAAAAUUUACUUUAGAAGAUUUUUUUAUUUUGGAGAUUACAAAUUGAAAAUUAAUUACUCAAUUGAUUUUACCUUUUUUUGAAGAAUAUCCUUUUUUUACAAAAAAAAAACAACAAGAAUUUGAGCUUUUUAAACGAUUAGUUACUUUAAUUGACAAAAGAAUUCAAACUGAACUUGAUUUAGAACAGUUUUUAUCUAUUCGAAGACAAUUAGACGAAUACCGUCAAUCACGAGCAUCCAAUACAGAUGAAAUUAUUCGAAAAACGUUUAAACCGCAAGGUUAAUUUUUAAAGAAUCCUCAGAGACUACACGCUAAACGAUUAAAACCUGUUUUUAAUUGAUGAUAUAGUCCGAUCUUUAUGGUGACAUAAAGGUAAAAAAAAGUAUACCCUUUUUUUUACAUCUUUUCGAAAAAGAAAAGAUUAACAAAAAUGAACGGUCCUAAGGUAGCGAAAUUCCUUGUCGGGUAAGUUCCGACCCGCACGAAUGGCGUAAUGAUUUGGAAGCUGUCUCGAGGAGGGACUCGGUGAAAUAGAAAUGUCUGUGAAGAUGCGGACUACCUGCGCCUGGACAGUAAGACCCUAUGAAGCUUUACUGUAUCCUGAAAUUGGAUUUCGAUUUUCUUUGCGCAGUAUAGGUGGGAGACUUUGAAGUUAUUCUUUCGGGACUAGCGGAGUCAUUAGUGAGAUACCACUCUGAGAAAAUUAAAAUUCUAACUUCAUACCGUAAGCCGGUUGAAAGACAGUUUCAGGUGGGCAGUUUGACUGGGGCGGUCGCCUCCCAAAAGGUAACGGAGGCGUACAAAGGUUCCCUCAGAUCGGUCAGAAAUCGAUCUUUGAGUGCAAAGGCAAAAGGGAGCUUAACUGUGAGACAAACAAGUCGAGCAGAGACGAAAGUCGGUCUUAGUGAUCUGACGAUGCUGUGUGGAAAGGUCGUCACUCAACGGAUAAAAGUUACUCUAGGGAUAACAGGCUGAUCUCCCCCAAGAGUUCUUAUCGACGGGGAGGUUUGGCACCUCAGAAAGGGGGCGUAGCAUAGAAAUACGCUAUGACAAUUUAGCUAUAUGCUGGAAACUCCGUCCACUAAAAGUGGUAAAGUAUCUUAAAAUACUUUUUAUUAAAAGUGACAAUUUUUAAGUGCGGACAAUCAGCAGGGAAGUUUUUUUCAAUUUAAAGAAAGAUAACCCCUCAACGACUACACGCUGAACAACCUAUAUAGGUUGAUGAUAUAGUCUGAUCUUUUAGGCGACUAAAAGGAUUUUAAAGAGUUGUAAAACUUUUUAAAAAUCGUAGAAUUUUAUUCUUAAAUACAUUUUUCGAAAUUUUUAAGAUGAAUUUUAUUAACAUUAAUGCGAUGUCGGCUCAUCGCAUCCUGGGGCGGAAGUACGUCCCAAGGGUUGGGCUGUUCGCCCAUUAAAGCGGUACGUGAGCUGGGUUCAGAACGUCGCGAGACAGUUCGGUCCAUAUCCGGCGUGGGCGUUAGAGUAUUGAGAGUGACCUUUCUCUAGUACGAGAGGACCGAGAAAGAUAUACCUCUAGUGUAUCAGUUAUCGUGCCAACGGUAGAUGCUGAGUAGCUAUGUAUAGUUAGGAUAACCGCUGAAAGCAUCU